CUGGUUGAUCCUGCCAGAGGCCAUUGCUAUCAGGGUUUGACUAAGCCAUGCGAGUCGAGAGGUGUAAGACCUCGGCAUACUGCUCAGUAACACGUGGUUAACCUGCCCUAAGGUGGAGCAUACUCCCGGGAAACUGGGGCUAAUACUCCAUAGUGGAUGCAUCCUGGAAUGGUGCAUCCUCGAAAGAUCCGUCGCCUUAGGAUGGGACUGCGUCCGAUUAGGUUGUUGGCGGGGUAACGGCCCACCAAGCCAUUGAUCGGUACGGGUUGUGGGAGCAAGAUCCCGGAGAUGGAUUCUGAGACAUGAAUCCAGGCCCUACGGGGCGCAGCAGGCGCGCAAACUUUACAAUGCGAGCAAUCGUGAUAAGGAAACCCUGAGUGCCUGUCGAUGCAGGCUGUUCAUAUAUCUAAAUCAUAUGUGAAGAAAGGGCAGGGCAAGACCGGUGCCAGCCGCCGCGGUAAUACCGGCGGCUCGAGUGGUGACCACUUUUAUUGGGCUUAAAGCGUUCGUAGCUGGACUGCUAAGUCCCUUGGGAAAUCCGCCGGCUUAACCGGCGGGCGUCUAAGGGAUACUGGCAGUCUUGGGACCGGGAGAAGGUAAGAGGUACUCCGGGGGGGUAGGAGUGAAAUCCUGUAAUCCCCCGGGGACCACCCGCGGGCGAAGGCGUCUUUACAGAGCGGCUCCCACAGUGAGGAACGAAAGCUGGGGG
rnacentral:rRNA from 1 species